rnacentral:rRNA from 1 species
GAUGAACGCUGGCGGCGUGCCUAAUACAUGCAAGUCGAGCGAACGGACGAGAAGCUUGCUUCUCUGAUGUUAGCGGCGGACGGGUGAGUAACACGUGGAUAACCUACCUAUAAGACUGGGAUAACUUCGGGAAACCGGAGCUAAUACCGGAUAAUAUUUUGAACCGCAUGGUUCAAAAGUGAAAGACGGUCUUGCUGUCACUUAUAGAUGGAUCCGCGCUGCAUUAGCUAGUUGGUAAGGUAACGGCUUACCAAGGCAACGAUGCAUAGCCGACCUGAGAGGGUGAUCGGCCACACUGGAACUGAGACACGGUCCAGACUCCUACGGGAGGCAGCAGUAGGGAAUCUUCCGCAAAGGGCGAAAGCCUGACGGAGCAACGCCGCGUGAGUGAUGAAGGUCUUCUGAUCGUAAAACUCUGUUAUUAGGGAAGAACAUAUGUGUAAGUAACUGUGCACAUCUUGACGGUACCUAAUCAGAAAGCCACGGCUAACUACGUG